GACGAACGCUGGCGGCGUGCCUAAUACAUGCAAGUUGAGCGAUGAAGCUUGGUGCUUGCACCAAUUUGAAGAGCAGCGAACGGGUGAGUAACGCGUGGGGAAUCUGCCUUUGAGCGGGGGACAACAUUUGGAAACGAAUGCUAAUACCGCAUAACAACUUUAAACAUAAGUUUUAAGUUUGAAAGAUGCAAUUGCAUCACUCAAAGAUGAUCCCGCGUUGUAUUAGCUAGUUGGUGAGGUAAAGGCUCACCAAGGCGAUGAUACAUAGCCGACCUGAGAGGGUGGUCGGCCACAUUGGGACUGAGACACGGCCCAAACUCCUACGGGAGGCAGCAGUAGGGAAUCUUCGGCAAUGGACGAAAGUCUGACCGAGCAACGCCGCGUGAGUGAAGAAGGGUUUCGGAUCGUAAAACUCUGUUGGUAGAGAAGAACGUUGGUGAGAGUGGAAAGCUCAUCAAGUGACGGUAACUACCCAGAAAGGGACGGCUAACUACGUG
rnacentral:rRNA from 1 species